AGCGAACGCUGGCGGCAGGCUUAACACAUGCAAGUCGAGGGGAGCGGCAGACGGGUUAGUAACGCGAGGGAACGUACCUUUUGGUUCGGAACAACACAGGGAAACUUGUGCUAAUACCGGAUACAGAAAGGUCGGCCCGCGUCUGAUUAGCUAGUUGGUAGGGUACUGGCCUACCACGGCGACGAUCAGUAGCUGUUCUGAGAGGAUGAUCAGCCACAUUGGGACUGAGACACGGCCCUAACUCCUUCGGGAGGCAGCAGGUGGGGAUAUUGGACAAUGGGGGCAACCCUGAGCCAGCCAGGCCGCGUGAGUGAUGAAGGCCAUAGGGUUGUAAAGCUCUUUUGUGCGGGAAGCGGUACCGCAAGAAUAAGCCCCGGCUAACUUCGUGCCAGCAGCCGCGGUAAUUC
rnacentral:rRNA from 1 species